rnacentral:tRNA from 4 species
GCGCCCGUAGCUCAGCUGGAUAGAGCAACGGACUUCUAAUCCGUAGGUCGCAGGUUCGAAUCCUGCCGGGCGCACCA